rnacentral:rRNA from 1 species
UGAGUAACCUGCCCUUAACUCUGGGAUAAGCCUGGGAAACUGGGUCUAAUACCGGAUAUGACUCCUCAUCGCAUGGAGGGGGGUGGAAAGCUUUUUUGUGGUUUUGGAUGGACUCGCGGCCUAUCAGCUUGUUGGUGAGGUAAUGGCUCACCAAGGCGACGACGGGUAGCCGGCCUGAGAGGGUGACCGGCCACACUGGGACUGAGACACGGCCCAGACUCCUACGGGAGGCAG